ACUCCUACGGGAGGCAGCAGUGGGGAAUAUUGCACAAUGGGGGAAACCCUGAUGCAGCCAUGCCGCGUGUGUGAAGAAGGCCUUGGUUGUAAAGCACUUUCAGUAGGGAGGAAGGUAGUGUAGUUAACACCUGCAUUAUUUGUACGUUACCUACAGAAGAAGCACCGGCUAACUCCGUGCCAGCAGCCGCGGUAAGUACGGAGGGUGCGAGCGUUAAUCGGAAUUACUGGGCGUAAAGCGCAUGCAGGCGGCCUGUUAAGUCAGAUGUGAAAGCCCGGGGCUUAACCUCGGAAUUGCAUUUGAAACUGGCAGGCUAGAGUCUUGUAGAGGGGUUAGAAUUUCAGGUGUAGCGGUGAAAUGCGUAGAGAUCUGAAGG
rnacentral:rRNA from 1 species